AUCUUAAAACCGGGAACACCCUAAUCUGCCUUGGUCCUUGAGCAAGGUCACGUACAUUCAAUGUCACUGCAACAUGGGGUACGCUGGCAAGGAAAUUGUCAUACCUACUUGGCUAAUGGCUCCCAGCAGAUACAAUGUCCUAUAUCACUUUUAAGGAAGAUAUUUCCUACAAGUAUUUAGAUUUGGGAUUACAUGCUCACUGUAUCUCACUGAUCACUUGAUUGGUUAGUAAUGAAGUCACUUUGUAUUUUCAGUAUAGAAUAACUCAUUUAAAAGAUGGCAUUUAUAUUUGCCUUGUUUUAAAUCACCUAUCAUGAAGAUUACAGACCAUAUAAUGUUUAAAAUAUACAUUUUCUCCUCAUGUACAUCCAAUUAUCUAUGGGCUGCUUGAAAAAAAAAUCACAAAUUGUAGAUUGGUGUUACUUCAGAUUUAUUCUAGCAAAUAUUCAUUACUGAUUAGCAAGUUAUUUACUUGACCUUGGCUUGCUUCAAUUUCCAACAGUAGUAAAAUCCUCCUAAAUAAUAUCCAAAUUAAUUCCUAUUUCCUAUUUUCUCCAAUGAUAAUAUGAAUAUGCAUUAUUGCUAGAGUAAAUAUUCCAAAGUGCAAAUCUAAUCAUAUGACAUCUAAGCUUAAUAUAUUUCUUUGACAACUGUGGAAGAUCAAUUCCAAAUUUCUUAAUUUUGUAGCAAAGGGCCUUCAGGACCUAAUCUUUUACCUCUCAUCUCCCUUUGCCUUAUAUAUAAUAACUUCUAUUCUUGUAAUAUCUAACUACUUACACCACUGUAAAUCAUUUGUUGAUAAAAACUUCAAUGAUUUUUUACACAUUCCAUUCCACUUUCUUGAAUUACUCUCUCAACAGUUUGUCUUAAUAUCUUAGUUUUUUUUUUUUUUUUGAGACUCAAUUUCUUCCUCUAAGAAGUUAUUAUUGGUAUUGAUCUGUAAAUGACAUCCUUCUACAAUAUUAUCCUGUGCAAUAACUCAUCUCUCACACUUGACACUGUUGAAUUUUCACUGAAUCCUAUAAUCCUGGAAAACAGUGAAAGCUAAGUCCUAUAAUCAUGGAAAACAGUGAAAGCUAAGAGAUUUCCUCAUCCCUUUGUUUCAGUUUAGUGCAAAGAGGCACUCUUCCUCUUAUAACUGAUUUGAAUAAUACCCAUGGAUUCCCCACUUCUCUACCUAUGUAAGGUCUGACACAAAUCUUCCAAACUCUCAUUCUUUACCUUUUAAUGAUUAGGUGAACUAUUUUGUCUCCACUGAUCUAUUGGAAUAAAAUACUUAUGUGCCAAAUAUUGGUUACGAUUCUUCCCCUCCCUAGGCCUGUGAAUUUUGGUCCUCCUUCAGCCCAAGCCAAUAUACUGUAUCUGCUUAUACCCAUCUUGAUUAUGGACUAGAAUCAGAGUCAAAUAUUCUCUGAUCUUACCCUCAGAUCAAAUCAUUUCCCUUUAUCUCAAUUCCUUUCACCAAACUCUUUCCAGCCUUGCUUACUCCUCCCUUUUAAAGAAAAAAAAAAACUUUUGGCUAACCCUAAAGUCCUUUGCAGAUCUUGCAGUAACAGAAUUCUACUACAGUAAUCUCCCUCUGCCUUUAGCAAAAGUCCCUGUCCCUUACUUCUCCUCACCAAGUUCUGCUUUGUUUGUUUAACUUGACAAGUUUAUGCCAUAAAUCAAUUAUUGGUCUAUCUUUACCACAUAACCUCAGCAAGUUCAACAAAUUUUUAUUCUAUGUAUCUAGGACUAAGUUAGUUUUUGUUUUAUAAUUGGUAUUUGGUCAUAAGUUGAUUAUUAAAUCACUAAGUAAUCAGCAUUAUUGAUCUUCAAUCUAGAUUUGGCAAUCAAUUCUUAUAACUCAAUUCUUUUAUUGAGUUGCAAUUACAUCACAUUUUUAAUGUUUCUACCUUUUUAAUUUUUAUUUAUCCAUCUGUAUUGCUUCUUACUUUUUCCUCAAGCAAUUUAAACAGUGUUAGAACUUAGAUGCUCUUUUAUUUUUUUAUCUCUAUUUGCUAAUAUUUUUCAAAUGACCACUUUCCAAACUACAUCUUACUGCCUCACAUUUGCAUAUUAGCCACAAUCAUAAUUUUCUAUCAGAAAUUAUCUCUUAAAUUACAGACCUACAAAAUAAAUUUCUACUUCCAUUUCUCUACCUGCCUAUCAAGGCUGAAAUAAUUAUUUUCCUUAUUUAAAUCAAUAAAAUAUUAACUAUGUAGUCAUUAAAAUUAUUCAUCUUACAACUGUUGUUAAACCCACACUCCUCUUUCUCUACCUUUCUAUCCAACAAAUUACUUAAUUCUAUCAGAUUAAUAUCUCUUCAAUCAGUCUUCUGUACUCCAUAUACCCUGUACCAAUUUAUUAAAUCAUUCCUUAUAAGGUAGGCCCAAAGUGUUGUAAUAGACUACUCACUAAAACCCCAUGUUAUGGUUUGGAUGUGAGGUGUCCCCCAAAAGCUCAUGUGCAAGACAAUGCAAGAAAUUUCAGAGAAAAAAAUGAUUUGGUUAUAAGAGCCUUAACCCAAAUAGUGAAUUAAUCCCCUGAUAGAGAGUAACUGAAUUGUGACUGAAGUGGUAGGGUGUGGGUAGAGAAGGUGGCUUUGGGUUAUAUAUUUGUACCUGGCAAGUGGGGACCUCUCUCUCUGUCUCUGCUUUACGAUCACCACAAAGCUGCUUCCCUAUCCACACUCUUCUGACAUGAUAUCCUGCUUUACCUUGAGCCCUGAGGAAUGGAGCCAACUGUCUAUGGACUGAGACCUCUGAAACUGUGUGCUCUCAAACUUUUCCUUCUCUGCAAUUGGGCUGGUCUGGUCAUUUAGUCACAGCAGCAAAAAAUCUGACUAAAACACUAUUUUAAUCCUGUUUUUGUUUCCAAUAUUACUUGACAUGCACAAGUUUGUCCUCUGAACUCCAAGAACAAUAAACUACUUUUUGUCACUUGAAUUUGUCAACCCUUUCAAAUGCUUUCCAUGCUGCUUCACUUGCUUAACAGACAUGCCAAUACUUCAAUUUGCUUAGAGAUUUCUUAUAUUCAAAAAACUACUCUGAAAUAUAAAUACUUAUGCUUUAUUUUUCAUUUUCUUUUUGAUUAGAGAUAUAAACUUUGAAGAUUUUUUUGCUAGUACUCAGGUCCAUAAUAUUUUUUCAUAAUUUCUUUUAAAUAUUUCUUCACCUUUGCUUGCUUUAAUUUUCUCCAUUAUGACUUCUAUUUAAUUUUAAUUUAUGAAUUCAUCCAUUUAUUUUGUAGUUGUAGGUAUUAAACCAAGGGUGUUUUUCAACUAAACUACUUCCCCAAUCCUUUAUAUUUUUUUUUUUGAGAAAGGGUCUCACAGAAUUUCACAGUUUGAUGUUGACCUCAAACUUUUAUCCUUCUUAUAUUGAGUUCUUGUCAACCUCCUGCUUCAGUCUUCUGAGCUUCUUAUAUUAAGUUUUCUACUGAACUUGUCUACUACUCCAGUUUAUGGCUGAGUCUAUGCUCAUUUCGGGGGUUCCCAACUGCUCUGUCACAGAUGAGUCCUGUCACAUACUAGUGUUUUUGUGAUUUAUUGUAAUUGUGCCUAAAGUUGGGCCUGUCCAUGAAAUACACUCCAUAAUCCAUAGCAAUGGAUCUUAUCACUUGGCCCAUUAUUAUUUGCUUCAAGUGUAAUUUACAGUUUCCUCUAGUUCCUGGCAUUUUACUAUGUUUAUCAGGAAAAAUAGCUUAAGGUUGGACUGCCCAAAUUUCUUCCUUUAAUUUAAUCCUCUUUUUAGUCCAUUCUGCUAUUAAACAAAAUAUCAUAAACUUCCUAGCUAAUAAGCAAUAGAAAAUAUUCCUCGCAGUUCUUGAGGCUGAGAAGUCCAAGAUAAAGGCACUGACACAUUCAGCAUCUGUCUGAUGAAGGCUUACUUCCUGGUUUAUAGAUGAUGUCCUCCCACUGUGUUUUCACAUGGUAGAAGAAGAAAGUGAUCUCUCCAAGACCUUUUGUAUAAAAGUUUUAAUCUUACCUUCAUGGUCUAAUCAUCUCUCAAGUUCCUAUCUCCAAAAGCUACCACACUGGGAAGUUUCAUUUUGAGGAGGGCUAAACAUUUCAGAACAUUGCAAGUCUCAUCUUUAUUAUGUCUUCGAAAAAAAUCUUACACUAUAUCUAGAAAGUACCUCUCAGAAUUUAUAUAUAUAUAUAUAUAUAUAUAUAUAUAUAUAUAUAUAUAUAUUUCUUGACUAGUAUAGAGGUUAUUCCCACAAAUCUUCAAGUUUCUUUGUAUUUGAGCUUAUGGUGUUUAUGUGUAGCUUAGGGAAAGGGGUGGUGACAGGUAAGUAUAUAAAAGUGCAUAGUUGAGAAAGUGAAAGAAGUUAGGGGAAAGAACACAGGAGGAGAUUUUGAUGGCUAAGCUCAAGUAGUCCUGGUCAGAUUCAAUUCACAUCAGCAAAGAACUAUUAAGCUCACAUUGUUUAUAGCAGAGCCUUACUUGCCAAUGACUCAUAAAUAAUCCCUUCUCUUUAAAGAGAUAUGCAGAAUAAUCAUCAGUUAGGGGCAGUGUUAAUGCCUUCUAGGGAAAAAGUAAACUCCAGACAGUUUUCCAAUGUCCUGAAACAAUUAUAUUGUAAAAUGCCAAUUAAGAUAUCACUGUAAACUUGUACAAAUGCCAAAAACCAUUAGAUAUCUAAAGACAAGUGAAAGUAUACUAUUUCCAAGGAAAAGUAUUGCAUUUCCUCCACUAUAUAAGUAAUGGCACUAUGUAAAAUAUGACUAGGUUAAAUUCUAAUUCUACCACUUGUCAGCUGUGCAAUCUAGCAUAAAUAGCCCAUCUAUCCCUUAUUUUCAUCACCUGCAAAAUGCAGAUAAAACUGGUACCAUCUCAUUUGUUUGUUAUGAAAUAAUAUUUACAAAGCAUUCACAAUACUAGCUGGAACAUUUCAAGCAUCCAAACAUGUUAUUUAUCAGCAGUUGCACAGAAUUACUUAAAACUAUACAGUAUUUUAGAUUUUUCAAAGGACUUCCAUAUAACUUACCAUUUUUAUAUUCAAAAAUUAACAUAAAGGAAGGUAUCUUGAAAACAAUUUACAGAAACUAACAUAAGAUUAUAAAAUCUAUAAAUUAAUUAUAAAAACAAUUAGUAAAAGACGGGUUAAUGAUAACAAUGCAGCAUCAGAAGGAAAGGAAAAUGUUUUGUGGACCAUUUUGGGUUUUUUUUUUUGUGUGUGGCAGUUUUAAGUUAUUAGUUUUUAAAAUCAGUACUUUUAAUGGAAAUAACUUGACCAAAAAUCUGUCACAGAAUUUUGAGACCCAAUAAAACAAAAGUUUAAUGAGAAACCUGUGUCCUUUUUGGUCAAUAUGAACUUAUACAAAUGUUAGGCAAGUGUUCCUCCAUCUAUUUGUGGUGUUGAGAAUCUGUUAACUUUAUAAGAAUGAUUAAGUUUUCUGGUUGGAAAUUUAGUUAAGAAGGGAAACUGUGAGGGAUCUUCAAGUACCUAGUGAGUAUCUGGGAGGGGUAUAUUGAUUACAACACUUGGUUAGGGUAGAAAAAUAACUUUGUAAUUUACUUUAGAGGACCAAAUCCUGUAAUAUUAAAGGCUGUUACUUCUGAAAAAAAAAAAAAAAAAAAGAAGAACAAUUAGUACUAAAGUUUU
rnacentral:lncRNA from 1 species